UACGUAGGUGACCAGCGUUGUCCGGAUUUACUGGGCGUAAAGAGCGCGCAGGCGGUCGUUCAAGUCGAGUGUGAAAGCCCUGGGCUCAACCUGGGAAGGCCAGAUAAGACUGUAUGACUGGAGUAUGGGAGAGGGUAGUGGAAUUUCCGGUGUAGCGGUGAAAUGCGUAGAGAUCGGAAGGAACACCAGUGGCGAAGGCGGCUACCUGGCCUGAUACUGACACUGAAGCACGAAAGCGUGGGGAGCAAACAGG
rnacentral:rRNA from 1 species